AACGAACGCUGGCGGCAUGCCUAACACAUGCCAGUCGAACGAGACCUUCGGGUCUAGUGGCGCACGGGUGCGUAACGCGUGGGAACCUGCCCUUAGGUUCGGAAUAACUCCCCGAAAGGGGUGCUAAUACCGGAUAAUGUCUUCGGACCAAAGAUUUAUCGCCUUUGGAUGGGCCCGCGUUGGAUUAGCUAGUUGGUAGGGUAAAAGCCUACCAAGGCGACGAUCCAUAGCUGGUCUGAGAGGAUGAUCAGCCACACUGGGACUGAGACACGGCCCAGACUCCUACGGGAGGCAGCAGUGGGGAAUAUUGGACAAUGGGCGAAAGCAUGAGCCAGCAAUGCCGCGUGAGUGAUGAAGGCCUUAGGGUUGUAAAGCUCUUUUACCCGGGAUGAUAAUGACAGUACCGGGAGAAUAAGCUCCGGCUAACUCCGU
rnacentral:rRNA from 1 species